GGGAAGAGUAUCAUUGAUCUUGCCUUUAGAAGUAACUGAAAAGCUAAAAGAGCAACAUUUAGAGAGCCAGGUCCUUUUGGUGCUCUGGAGGUCUCAGAGGUUUAAAUGCUUGAGGAUUGCCAUUUUCUGGUGCCAUCAAGCCCUGCUUCAUGCAGUCUCUCAUCAUGUGAUGUGGAGAGCAUGCUACUUAUUUUUCUACAUGAUUAGGUGUGGUGCCUAGAGAAUGGAUGUGACAUAUUAUCAGCCAGAAUGACAGAGCAGCAACAUGCCACUUGCUCUACAUCUGAUUAGGACAAACUGCCAUCAGAAAACUGGAGAAAGUAGCUAUCUGCGGUUAUACAUACUUCUAAUAUGCAUGUGAAGAAAUGGCUCAUGUGGGGACGUCUGCAGGGGACAAGGCAGAACAGUGUGGAAUAUUCCUAACAGGGCAAGAAUCUGAUUUUCCUACCAGCAGCAGGACAAACUUACGUGGAGGUCAUGAAGCAAGUGGAGAAGAUCUCAUGCCUGGUUUCCUUGGCUCUGUCAUGUACAGACCCAGCUAUUUCCAUUGCCCUGACAUGGGUGGGAUGAAUGGUGAUCUUUGGUUAGUGUGUGCGUCACCCCGAGUGGUGAAGAACUUCUGGAGAAGGAAGGGGAGGUGUUGGUUAAACCACGUACCCCGGGACUUGUGUACUUGUGUUUUGGUGUCCGGUUAACAAGACAGGGAAGUAGGAAAAAACUUGGAGGACCACAAGCAGAAAUGUUAUGAAAAACAAAGAGAAGGCAUCCUGCUGUGAUGAUUGAAGUCGUCCCUUUUUCUUCAUAAUCUGCUCUGCAAGGAGCAGUCCUUCUGCUAUGACUAUUAGAGAUGCUGCAUGUUAUCAGACCCACUGCCUGGAGCUCUUGGGACAAAGAGGUUUGUCUGUCUCACUAGUUACGGUCUGUUCUACUAGCGGUUGCUGGUGCGUGCUUGUGAUAAAGCUCUUUGUAUGCAAACAAAAAGCAUGUUACGCUUUGAUUCACAGGAUAUUAAAUCUCAUGUGGGCUCAAAGGAGCAAUUUGCUGUGUGGCACAGAAUGACCUGUCCAACUGUAGGUGGUGACCUUUAUCCAAAUGCAAAACCUCCUUACAAACAUCUGCCUUAAAUGAGGAAGAUUUCUUGAAAACUAAUGUUGAACACUUAAAUCUGGGGAACUGUAAUGCAUUUUGAUUAAAUGAGAACACUUCCUGUAAAGUUUUGGGAACAUUUCAUUACCAUAUCACAACCUACAGUGGAAAGCAGUAGGAGUUGUUAAGCUUUGGUUACUUUUGGAUUUCCUUCCCAGUUAAGGAAGCAUGGAUGCAGCACACCCUGGAUUUGGUGCACAGGUCUCCAAGGGCUUACCUGGUUACUGAAGUUUAAUGAGUGUAUAAAUGUCAUCCAACAGUUGGAUUCCGAAGGGCCAGUAAAAAGCUUGAGUUUAUAUAAAAAAACAAAGCUGGAUCCAAAGCUCAUUGAAGUCAGCAGGGGUUUCCUAAUUAGGCUUUGAUAGACACUAGUUCUAUCACCUACUGAUUUGGACAUGUGUAUGUGUGUCUGUUAUUUCCCCAAUCUAUGUGUGUCACACUAAAGACAGGAGACUAUCCUGUGUGCUUCUAGUAUAAUAUAUGUAAUUUUUAUAUAUAAUAUACAAUAAUUUACAUAUUUCACAACAUUAUGUAUUCUGAAAUAAACUGAAUACCUCAUUUGGCAAAUAAAGAACUUCAUAAUGUUUUUCAUCAAAGGUGCUAAAUAUCAAGUAGUUACUUCCAUGUAAGCUCAAGUAAAUGAGAUUUUUUGCCUGAAGAUUUGAAUGACCUGAAUCAUCCAAAUGCGUGUUUAGGGGUUUCACGUUUUGUCAGUAGUUUGUUAGUCUAUAGCUACAUGUGAACCUCUUUGCUAGGCUAAGCAGUUCCUUCCCGCAAGUGUUCAUCCCUGCUUUUCAUAGAGGGGCAGUGCAGGUUAACGUGUAGGGCCUUGGAGCAACUGGGUGGGCAGGGUAGCUGCUGCUCAAGCUGUUGUGGGCAGCAGUGAUGUCUAGCUGCGGUCUUGUUUCUUUUGGAUCGCUCUCUUACAAAAUAAUUAUCAAAUGGAUAAUAUAAUUCUCACCUUCACACUUUUUUUUUUUUAAGUGAUCACUGCAAACAUAGUAGGAUGCAUUUGGAAUGCUUCAGACUUCUUGUCUAGUGUGCCUUUUUCCUUAGGCUUGUUUUCCUUCUUAAGAAAGAUGAAUUGUUGAAUAUAUUUACAUGCUGUUGUGCUUGCAAUUACAUAUUCGCAGAUUUUUUUUUGUCUAUACACAACUAGUUGGGCGUAAAUACCCAUUUUUAAUAAGAAAGUGGCAAGAUUCCAAGACAUUGUUUUCUGAUUUUCUGUUUAUAAAAAAUAAUAAUAAAAAAAAGUGUCAUUCUCCCCAAGGAAUUACAAACAGAGAUGAGGCAGAUUGAGGGCAAGCAUUUGGUAACAAACAACUUCUGAAUAAUUUCAUUUCAGAUGCUCAGUGAUGACUUUGAAAACUUUGCAGGUAAAACACAAACUUCUCAAGUAAACCAAAACACAUCAGAUCAACAAUUCCCUGUGUGUGCAUGUUCAUUUUGUUACUUCUGCUUUGUUACUGUGUGACAAGAAAAAUCUCAAAUCAUUCUGAUACCCUGUUCAUGCAGAAAACUUCAACAGUUGAAUGUAUUUCUGUUCUUAAAUCAGACUUUAUUUUGUUAAUUAAAUCUCAGAUCUUGUGCAAUGGUUUCUCUUGUUUUUAUGAGAGGAUGGUAGCAUUCAGAUAUUUGGAGAGAAGGCUUGAGAACGAGAUAAGCCCUAGAAUAUUGAGUCUCUUGUUCUCAUUGUUAUCCCACACAGCUUUGAAAGAAACUUUGGCAAACUUCUAUGUGUAUCUGAAAGUUUAUAAGGUGUUUAAAUAGCUAACUAAAGCUUCUUCCAUGAUGCUGGUCAA